rnacentral:rRNA from 1 species
UAGGGAAUCUUCGGCAAUGGGGGGAACCCUGACCGAGCAACGCCGCGUGAGUGAAGAAGUAUUUCGGUAUGUAAAGCUCUAUCAGUAGGGAAGAUAAUGACGGUACCUACAUAAGAAGCCCCGGCUAAAUACGUGCCAGCAGCCGCGGUAAUACGUAGGUGGCAAGCGUUGUCCGGAUUUAUUGGGCGUAAAGCGAGCGCAGGCGGUCAAUUAAGUCUGAUGUGAAAGCCCCCGGCUCAACCGGGGAGGGUCAUUGGAAACUGGUUGACUUGAGUGCAGAAGAGGAGAGUGGAAUUCCAUGUGUAGCGGUGAAAUGCGUAGAUAUAUGGAGGAACACCAGUGGCGAAGGCGACUCUCUGGUCUGUAACUGACGCUGAGGCUCGAAAGCGUGGGUAGCAAACAGG